rnacentral:misc_RNA from 1 species
GUUUCUAUUUCCUCUGUUUAUUCAUGAACUCAUAAAGUGCACAAAAAUAACAGAUUUCUGAGAAGGCUUACAUUGUCAAAACUUUAAAGAGCUAAGAUACAUUCUAUUGAGAAUCCCUGACGAUAGAAGCACAGUUAGUCUUAGUUUUAGACUUUAUAAUGUAGAUUUAUUUAUAUAUCAUUUUGCACUAUGUAUUUUAUUGAUGUACUAUGUUUUCGUUGCACCCUAAGCUUCAUGUCAUGAUGUUAUUGUAAAUAUGUAUAUUUUCUUGUCUGUCUCUUGCAGUAAACCACAGACACACACACACGCACGUACACACACAUGUUCUCACGCUCACACGAUUGACCACACCCAUACACCCGCUUAUGAUACGUCGCACACAAGGUGCAUGUAUAUAUUGAGAAUAAACAUUCAUUCAACUGUACAAGGCGUUGCUUGGAUUUAUUCUUUGUCGUCGGGUGUCGUUGCUGAUGUGCGUUUGAACUUUGUCGAUUCUGGGGUUUGAUUCUGCAGCUACACCUCAAAGUUUACAACUAUUGGACGACCUCAAUGUUUACAACUCUUGGACGCCCUCAGAGUUUAUAACUUCGGACGUCUUUGACUGUGUGUAUCAAGGUGUGAAGAAACGCAGAUCUUAAAAUGGAAGUUGCUGCCGAGAAGGACGACACAAGGUCGACAUCAUCGAAGGCAACAUCAAGGGCCAGUACAACCGCCAGCACAAGGCUGCGGGAAGCGAGAAUAAAGGAGGAGCUUGCAAGGAAAAGACAAGAACAAUUGCUCAAAGAACAAGAACUUAGGAAAAAGGAAUUCGAACUGAAAGAGGAAAUGGAUAAAAUGAAAGCGGAAAACGAACUGGAAAACGCCAGGGCUGAAGCGGCGUUGUGGCAAGAGGCUGAAAAUGAACAAUAUGUAUUAGGAGGUAACAGUAAUUUGCCUCUUUCAGGAAUGCCUGAGCCUGACAUUACUGACAUAGAUCACAGAACGCAGGCAUGGUGCAACCAACAGGCACAAACUCCUGAAGGGGGCAAGGAUAAUGUAAUGAAUGUACAUGCAAAUGAUUUUAUCCCCAAUACAGACAAGGUCGUGGCAGGUGCUCGCAAGGAGCAGGCAGGCCAUGAUGGGGACAAGAAAGGUCCAGCAAAUAAGGUGAGUGAUCUAGGAAUUGCAAAUAUGCUUGCUAUGGCUAUGAGUUUGCCCAAACCAGAUAUACAACCCUUUUCUGGCAAUCCAGUCGAUUACUGGAAAUUCAUGAAUACGUUUGAGGUGAACAUAGGGGAUAAAGUGAAUGAUGACAGGAUGCGCUUAAAUUAUCUCAUACAGUUCUGCACAGGUAAGGCGCGCGAUGCCAUAGAAAACUGCAUCCUUCUGGAACCGAGUGCAGGAUAUGCGCGUGCAAAGUUAAUUCUUCAAGAUCAAUUCGGUCGCAACUACAUUGUCGCCCGCGCUCAUGUUGAAAGAGUAUUGAAACGGUCACAUAUACGGUCUAGUGACAGCCAAGCCUUGUGGGAUCUGGCAAGGGACAUGAGAAGGUGCCAGAUCACAACAUCUCAAUUAGGGUACACUGCUCACAUGAGUACGACAGAAACCUUACUCAAGAUACAGGAGCUCUUACGUGUACACUUACAAGGACAGUGGGCAUCGAAGGCUCACUCACUUAUGGAACAGGCCGUCAUCCCAAAUUUCAGUUACAUGACUGAUUUUGUGGAACAGGCUGCGAAGGUGGCCAGCAAUGUCUUUGGUAAGCACAUUGGUAGGAGUCAGUCUGGUAAACAGCAGCCAGCAAAAUCCUCAACCAAACCAAAAGGUGGUGCAGUUUUUAGCACUGCAAAGGAAGCCCAAACUGCUAAGUGCCCUUGCUGCAGUAUGAAUGGGCAUGGACUAGGUAACUGCGAUGACUUCAAAAGGAAAUCAUCAAAUGAGAGGCACUCUCUUGUGAAACAAAAGAAGCUGUGCUUCAACUGCUUGAAACCGUCCCAUGCAGCAAAGGAGUGUAAAAACAAGGGCGUUUGCAGAAAAGAAGGAUGCGGGAAGAAGCAUCACACCCUUAUCCAUCUGGACUUCCAGCCAAAGGAGGAUAAGAAUCCUGAACAAGGAGAGCUGCAACUUGGGGCCGGGAAAUCGAAUGAAGGUAGCUCCCAUGCCGUUGGUGGCAGAAGGGCAGUCUCCUUAAGAGUAGUUCCUGUCAGAGUUGUUAAUGGAGAUAAGGAUGUUACGACAUGGGCACUCCUUGACAACGGGAGCGACGUAUCGCUUUGUGAGCAUGGUCUCAUACAUGAGCUUGGGGUGGUCGGUAGGAACACCUCCUUCAAGCUGACAACUGUGAACACUGCUUCAUCUCAAAAGGGGAUGGAGGUGUCCUUGUCCAUCCAGAGCCUCAAUGGCGAUGUAGAGUUGGAAAUACCUUCGCUAUGGACCAUCGAUAGGUUACCAACUUCACGUCAGAGUAUCCCAGUUCAAGAAGACGUGGACAAAUGGCCACAUCUUCGGGGAAUAGAACUCCCAAAUGUAGCUGAGAGUGACAUAAGGUUACUUAUUGGCUCUGAUGUCCCUGAAGCAUUCUGGGUAGAGGAAGAGCGAAGAGGUAGGAGGAAGGAGCCCUAUGCAAUUCGGUCUCCACUUGGAUGGACAGUCAUGGGACCAACAAGUUCCAGGUUCACAUCCAGAAAAGGCUCGGUCAAUAAUGUGACCAUUGACAGCCACCUACAGUUUCAGCUGGAAAGGUUCUGGCAGAUGGAUAAGAUGCCAGGAGAUGAAGCAGAUCAACCUGCUGAGUCCACUGAGGAUCGAAGGGCAAAACAGAUGAUGGAAGACUCUGUUACAUUGACUGAUGGGCACUAUCAGUUGGGGCUGCCAUGGCGACGCCAACCUCCCAUUCUCCAACAACGCCAAAAAUGGACAAAAGAAGAAAUUAACUUCAAGACUGAUGAUCUGGUCCUCAUGGUUGAUGACAGUCUCCCACGAGGUCAGUGGCCACUUGGUCGGAUAUGUGACACCUACCCUGACAAACAUGGACGCGUGCGACAAGUAGAGGUGCGCAUCGGGCCUAAUCAAUACAAGAGGCCAAUCUCAAAAUUAUGCUUGCUAGAAGCUGCGAAAUAAAUUACCAUCAUCUGAGCUGCAAACUUAAAUGUCUCAAUCAACCAUCAUUCAAUAUAUCCUUUGUGUUUUUCCUAUUCAAGAACUUGAUAUUUCAGCAAUAAUUUAUGUUGAUGUGGCGGCUCAUUGGCAAUAGUAAGCAAUACUUCACAAGUCCUAAAUCAAUCACUUUACGUGCACGCAGAAUUGUUGAAAAGGGGAGUUUAGUCAAUGAAGAUUUAUUCAAUAGGAAUCUUAUUUCCUUCUUUAGAGUCAAGUUUAUAUGAUAAUUCAAUAAGGAAUUUUUUAUAGUUUAUUAAGCUUGAUCUUCAUUAAAAUAACUGCCGCAUUUAUAAGAAUAUCCGAAAUGAGUCUUUGGUAUAGAGCCUCAUUUGGGGCCGGGUAUGUUGCGGCAGAUUCCAUUAAGUUAUCAAAUUUAUGAUGAAAUGUAGAUUGUUGGUUUAUACUUCAUGUAGCCAGUUAUAAAUUCUGUCGUAGUCAAUGUUUUUAUCUAUAAUUGAAUGUUUCAUUAUAUAUUUUUGCUUUAUAUAGUUAUGCACCCCUCACCCUAUCUAUCUCUCCCUCUAUCUCUCUCUGUAUACUUCCUGUCCACUUAUACUUUACUGUAAUGUAAUAUAAUGUUUAUGGUUAGUAUGUGCAGUGGUAUACCUGCUUGACCAACCCAAGCGCACUAAGUCCAUGAAAAUCACUUUGGUCAAUAGAGAGUCCUUUGUUUCUUGUCUUUGACCAUCCACCUUGGGGGAUAAGCUUGGGCGUGGAGUGGGGUAUGUAAAAGAAAGCCUCAAUUGAAUAGAAGUCAAGAUCAAAGACACACAUGCUGUACUGGUGUGCCUGCUUUUAAGAUCUCAACAUUUUUAGGAAGAUUUUCAAGUCUAUGUCCUGAGGAAAGUUGUCAAAAUCCCAGAUAGCCAAAAGUUGUAAACCACACACACACACGCACGUACACACACACAUGUUCUCACGCUCACACGAUUGACCACACCCAUACACCCGCUUAUGAUACGUCGCACACAAGGUGCAUGUAUAUAUUGAGAAUAAACAUUCAUUCAACUGUA